GAUGAACGCUGGCGGCGUGCUUAACACAUGCAAGUCGAACGAAGCACUUUACUUGAUCUUUUCGGAGUGAUUGUUUUGUGACUGAGUGGCGGACGGGUGAGUAACGCGUGGGUAACCUGCCUCACACAGGGGGAUAACAGUUGGAAACGGCUGCUAAUACCGCAUAAGCGCACAGUACCGCAUGGUACGGUGUGAAAAACUCCGGUGGUGUGAGAUGGACCCGCGUCGGAUUAGCUAGUUGGCAGGGCAACGGCCUACCAAGGCGACGAGCAGUAGCCGACCUGAGAGGGUGACCGGCCACAUUGGGACUGAGACACGGCCCAAACUCCUACGGGAGGCAGCAGUGGGGAAUAUUGCACAAUGGGGGAAACCCUGAUGCAGCGACGCCGCGUGAGCGAAGAAGUAUUUCGGUAUGUAAAGCUCUAUCAGCAGGGAAGAAGAAAUGACGGUACCUGACUAAGAAGCACCGGCUAAAUACGUGCCAGCCGCCGCGGUAA
rnacentral:rRNA from 1 species